AUUGCACUAGGGUUUCAGCUUCUUCACUACGCUUCCACCUCCCUCAUUCACAUUCUGCCUGCCUCCAUGAAGAAACCCUAGCCGCCUCCCUACGAAGGAACACCACGAAAAAACUCACAAUUGGGGGAAGAAAUUUUAGGGUUUGUUAAAGGAGAUGGUCAGAACUUAGAACGACGACAAUGGAUUGGAAUUUAGGGUUCUUCGAUCUCGGUUUUAGGGUUUCGUGUUAACCAGGUAACUUCCUGGUCUGACUCAUUUGUGUUUCGUCAGGAUCCA